GAUGAACGCUGGCGGCGUGCCUAAUACAUGCAAGUCGAGCGAACAGACGAGGAGCUUGCUCCUCUGACGUUAGCGGCGGACGGGUGAGUAACACGUGGAUAACCUACCUAUAAGACUGGGAUAACUUCGGGAAACCGGAGCUAAUACCGGAUAACAUGUUGAACCGCAUGGUUCAACAGUGAAAGACGGUCUUGCUGUCGCUUAUAGAUGGAUCCGCGCCGCAUUAGCUAGUUGGUAAGGUAACGGCUUACCGAGGCAACGAUGCGUAGCCGACCUGAGAGGGUGAUCGGCCACACUGGAACUGAGACACGGUCCAGACUCCUACGGGAGGCAGCAGUAGGGAAUCUUCCGCAAUGGGCGAAAGCCUGACGGAGCAACGCCGCGUGAGUGAAGAAGGUCUUCGGAUCGUAAAACUCUGUUAUUAGGGAAGAACAAAUGUGUAAGUAACUAUGCACGUCUUGACGGUACCUAAUCAGAAAGCCACGGCUAACUACGUG
rnacentral:rRNA from 1 species